CUUUCAAUAAACAGCGCUUCAAUUUCACGCUGAGUCAAACCGAUUCGUGUGGCGCUUCCAACUCAUUCCGGUGA